UACGUAGGUGGCGAGCGUUGUCCGGAUUUACUGGGCGUAAAGGAUGCGUAGGCGGAUAUUUAAGUGAGAUGUGAAAUACCCGAGCUUAACUUGGGUGCUGCAUUUCAAACUGGAUAUCUAGAGUGUGGGAGAGGAGAAUGGAAUUCCUAGUGUAGCGGUGAAAUGCGUAGAGAUUAGGAAGAACACCAGUGGCGAAGGCGAUUCUCUGGACCAUAACUGACGCUGAGGCAUGAAAGCGUGGGUGGCAAACAGGAUUAGAAACCCGUGUAGU
rnacentral:rRNA from 1 species